ensembl:lncRNA
CGUCCCUUAUCACCAUCCUUUCUACUUUGAUCUGAUUUACAGUUUCAUACUGCUUUCCUUUCUUUUCCUUUUUUUCUCCAUGUUUUCAAGUUUUUGCCUGUAUCCCUCAUCUCUUCUGCUCCUGUUUCCAAGUUUCCAUCUCACUUGUGAUUCCCCUCUCUCCCCCUUCCCUCUCAUCUGUCUCUGUCUCUCCCUCUCUUUAUCCUUCUCUCUCAUUCACUCCAUCUCUCUCAGGGGCCUGAAGUGAGGAUUGACAGAGGGGAAAUCCUGACUGACUGAAACCCAGCAGAUGAGUUCUUCUCUUCUCUUCUUUCUUUUUUUUUUUUUUUACCUCCCACCCCUUCGCUUUCUGCUCUUCCAUUUCUCCACCCUGAAUGCCUGCUACUUUGUCUCUCUCGUCUCCUUCACACCCGUGUCCUUCAUCUCCUCACCCCGUGCAGCUAAUUGUUCCUGAUCCAGCCUUGGCUUCUUGGAUUAAGCUGUUACUUUGAGGACUGAACUGUCGAUGAGACAAAACAACUUUUAAUAGAGAGAUGUUCACGAACAAGUUGAAUCAGACGUGAUAACAAACUGUUCCUCACUUUGUCUUCACAGUUAAUGGAUGACGGUCAAAAAGAAAGAAAAUGGAAACUAACACGACCAAUGACAGAAAAGAAGAAAAGGUUAGAAAACAAAAGCUCUUGGAUCCAGCAGGGUGGGAGCAGCAGCUGGACGGGCAACACUCAGAUCAAGCAACACUUUUGUUUCCAUCAGCACCGCCUGAAAUUCCAGAAAGUCAAACAGGUUUAAGUAAGACACAUCCACACCCCCUGCACUCAGAACCAGUCAGAGUGGCCUAAUCCUGGGGCAAAGUAAACAGGGUGUGACCUGUGAUUGCUCUAGUAUGAAUGAAACCUUUUCUUAUUGAAUGUGAAGUUAUAAUUUUUGAAGAAACUACAUUUCUCAAAAUCUAAAGUCAUUUCUUUCCACCACAAACUCAGAAAACAAUUAUCUCAGUUUCAAAAAUUAGAAAAUCAAGGCAAACCCUAAAUACAUUUGGCAAGUUUGCACAGGUACAGGUGGAAAACAAAUUGCAAAAACAAGCAAAAAAGGUGGAGCAAGGAAAGGAAAAGAGCCCAGUCAAGUUCCAACAAGCACAGCAGGAAUAAUCUCAGUUAAAAAAAAAACAUCUAUAGCAAUGAACCAACCAGUUUAUGUCAGUAAAUGCAGGGAAAUUAUGCUUCCGCUUAAGUACACCUCCAAGAACCAGUUUUAAACCACCUUUUAGACUACGUCAGCAUAUUUGAGACUCUUUAAAGCUGCAGAAAGAGAGAGACUUAGUCAUGAUUAAACAAUGCAGGUAGAUAAAUUGUAUUCCAGCUCUUAAGUAGCUUCUGGAACAUAAGGCGAAAACACUACCCCGGCCUAAUGUGACCUAAGGUGACAUCGCUGAUUAUGGAGUUUGUUUGUUUGUUUGUUUGUUUUAUUUCUUGUUAGUAAAACUUUGUUAUUUUAAGACAUUCUAUCAGCUAUUGAUAAAUUAAAUCUCAUACUAAUUCUCUGAUUAUCAAACCAAUGUCAGGGGUUGCUGAGUGGAUGUGGAGAAAAGGACUCAAACGCAGGACUCACGGUGAAGAUUCAGGGUGUUUAUUGUGAGGGACGAAUGACGAAAACAGGAGAUGGCUGACUGACUGAAUAACUGAAUGAACGGCUGACUGAUCUGAACUUGGAAGGCAAACAUGGGUCAUAGACAGCAGUGACAACAUCAAUGACGCGACGCCGACCAGGAGACAACUGAGGACUUAAAUACACUGGCUGAACAAUGACUGAUAGGUGACAGAACAAUGAGAUACACACAUGGACAGGAGGCUGAACAUGCUCAUGGGUGGCUCUUCAGCUGGACACACACAUGGCAGAUCCUGUGACCUUGUUACCGCCGUCGGACCGCAGCUAUUGGACUGCGAGGACGUGGCCGUGACGUGACUGUGGACUUUCAAAACAUCUGAUAGACCGUGUGCCUGUGUAUGUGUGUGUGUGUGUGUGUGUGUGUGUGUGUGUGUGUGUGUGUGUGUGUGUGUGUGUGUGUCAUUAGUAAAAAUAAAUAAAAUUAUAUAUAUUUUUGAAAUCCAUUUAAAGACAAUGUGAUGCUACUAUCUUUCUUACAUAAAUUGUGCCAGGGAAAUUACAUUUCCCUGGCACAAUUAAACAUUAAGUCUAUUGUUUUAAUGUUAAGAAAUUGCCUGCAUAUAUUUGUUGAAUAAACAGCCUUAUGUCAGAGCCUGUGUGUUGAUUAUUAUGUAUUAUUAUUUAAUUCAGCUAUGUGAUAUUGGCUGUGUUGAGGUUGCAGGAUGUAAAUCGGUAUUAAAAAAUAUUUUAAACAUGUGUUUUUUAAAGAUUACUUUGUAAAAGAUGAGAAUUUAACACGACAUUUGUAAAUGUAUUUUAUGUCUGCUGUAUGUAAGGGUGAUUGAGAGACAGCUAGUCACUAUACUCUUAAUUUUACCCUGUUUGAAGCUGUUACACAACUUGCUGCUCCUUCUCGUCAGUGUCACGUUGACUUCGAUCUCUUCUCUUCUGUCAAAGAAUACGAGCAGCUGCAUUAUGUCUACAAGCAAACAAUCUUAUUCGUAUACUUUUGUCCCUCUGCUGAGUACAUGACAGCCCUCGUUUUGUCUCGCAGACCUUUUAUUUGUCACAAUUUUACGUUUAAUUUGCGUGUGUGUGAGAGAGAGAGGAAGCAUGGCGGCAGAUGGGUGUGCUGGAGACUCCAAAAGCUGCUGCAAAUAGCCUUUCGGGGUCGGAGUUGGGGAAACAGAGCACAUACUGCCGAGCUUAAAAUCAUGGCAGUCUGUUCUUGUGAAACAUCUGGACUCUGUAAGCAUGACUGGCUCAUUUGUGUGUAUGAAAAUGUAGACAAAACAAUAAAAUAAAGCGACGGAACAUUCA